rnacentral:rRNA from 1 species
UUCGCAAUGCCCGAAAGGGUGACGAAGCGACGCCGCGUGGGUGAGGAAGGCCUUCGGGUUGUAAAGCCCUGUCAGGAGUUAAGAAAUGUAAGUGCGCUAAUAUCGCAUUUAUUUGACAAAGGCUCCAAAGGAAGCCACGGCUAACUCUGUGCCAGCAGCCGCGGUAAUACAGAGGUGGCAAGCGUUGUUCGGAAUUAUUGGGCGUAAAGAGCACGUAGGUGGGUUUGUAAGUCAGAUGUGAAAGCCUCCUGUUCAACGGGAGAAUUGCAUCUGAAACUACUGAUCUUGAGUAUAGGAGGGGAGAAUGGAACUUCUGGUGGAGCGGCGAAAUGCGUAGAUAUCAGAAGGAACGCCGGCGGCGAAAGCGAUUCUCUGGCCUAUUACUGACACUCAGUGUGCGAAAGCUAGGGGAGCAAACGGGAUUAGAUACCCCGGUAGUCCUAGCCGUAAACGAUGGGCACUAAGUAGAGGGGUUUU